GACGGACGCUGGCGGCGUGCUUAACACAUGCAAGUCGAACGGAAAGGCCCUGCUUUUGUGGGGUGCUCGAGUGGCGAACGGGUGAGUAACACGUGAGUAACCUGCCCUUGACUUUGGGAUAACUUCAGGAAACUGGGGCUAAUACCGGAUAGGAGCUCCUGCUGCAUGGUGGGGGUUGGAAAGUUUCGGCGGUUGGGGAUGGACUCGCGGCUUAUCAGCUUGUUGGUGGGGUAGUGGCUUACCAAGGCUUUGACGGGUAGCCGGCCUGAGAGGGUGACCGGCCACAUUGGGACUGAGAUACGGCCCAGACUCCUACGGGAGGCAGCAGUGGGGAAUAUUGCACAAUGGGCGGAAGCCUGAUGCAGCAACGCCGCGUGCGGGAUGACGGCCUUCGGGUGGUAAACCGCUUUCGCCUGUGACGAAGCGUGAGUGACGGUAAUGGGUAAAGAAGCACCGGCUAACUACGU
rnacentral:rRNA from 1 species